rnacentral:rRNA from 1 species
UACAGAGGGGGCAAGCGUUGUUCGGAAUUACUGGGCGUAAAGCGCGCGCAGGCGGCCUUUUAAGUCUACCCGUGAAAUGCCGGGGCUCAACCCCGGGACUGCGUCCGAUACUUCCGAGCUGGAGGUAGGUAGGGGAGAUCGGAAUUCCUGGUGUAGCGGUGAAAUGCGCAGAUAUCAGGAGGAACACCGGUGGCGAAGGCGGAUCUCUGGGCCUUACCUGACGCUGAGGCGCGAAAGCUAGGGGAGCGAACAGG